CCCUUAGAUGUUCUGGGCCGCACGCGCGCUACACUGAUGCAUUCAACGAGUGUACCUUGGCCGAGAGGCCUGGGCAAUCUUUUGAACGUGCAUCGUGAUAGGGAUAGAUUAUUGCAAUUAUUAAUCUUGAACGAGGAAUUCCUAGUAAACGCAGUUCAUCAAACUGCAUUGAUUACGUCCCUGCCCUUUGUACACACCGCUCGUCGCACCUACCGAUUGGAUGGUCCGGUGAAGCCUCGGGAUUGUGGCGGUUGCCUUUAUUGGUGGCCGCCGCGAGAACUUGUCUAAACCUUAUCAUCUAGAGGAAGGUGAAGUCGUAACA
rnacentral:rRNA from 1 species